rnacentral:misc_RNA from 1 species
AACGCAUAUUGCGCCUUCUGGUAUUCCGGAAGGCAUGCUUGUUUGAGUAUCAGUAAACCUCAACUCCUUUUCUUAUGCGUGAGGGAAGGGGUUGGAUUUGAGCAUAUCCACCGGGCCAUGUUGGCUUGAGGGAUGCUUGAAAUGGAGGUUCGGCCGACAGUGCCUGGGCUACAAGCAUUUCAUACUUAAUCCCGUUAAACGGAUUAUAUCCUUUGCUGCAGCCAACAUACAGGGUAACUGUCAGUGUUCCGACUGAUGCAGGAAAGUUGAGAUGGGUUCUUCGGAACCUGGCUCUUCUAAACUCGAUCUCAAAUCAAGUAAGACUACCCGCUGAACUUAA